rnacentral:piRNA from 1 species
UGAAAAUAGAGACAAUAAAAGGACCCAAAG